ACUCAAAGGAAUUGACGGGGGCCCGCACAAGCAGUGGAGUAUGUGGUUUAAUUCGAAGCAACGCGAAGAACCUUACCAGGGCUUGACAUCCCGUGCAUAGUAUAGAGAUAUAUGAAGUCCUUCGGGACACGGAGACAGGUGGUGCAUGGUUGUCGUCAGCUCGUGUCGUGAGAUGUUGGGUUAAGUCCCGCAACGAGCGCAACCCUUAUUGUUAGUUGCUACCAUUUAGUUGAGCACUCUAACGAGACUGCCGGUGACAAAUCGGAGGAAGGUGGGGACGACGUCAAAUCAUCAUGCCCCUUAUGUCCUGGGCUACACACGUACUACAAUGGCUGUUAACAGAGGGAAGCGAUACCGCGAGGUGGAGCAAAUCCCCAAAAACAGUCUCAGUUCAGAUUGCAGGCUGCAACUCGCCUGCAUGAAGUCGGAAUUGCUAGUAAUCGCGGAUCAGCAUGCCGCGGUGAAUACGUUCCCGGGCCUUGUACACACCGCCCGU
rnacentral:rRNA from 1 species